UGCAAACCACACAGCAAACCAUUACCACCAGCAGACCAUACAACCCCCACCACCUACCUCUAGUCCUCUACCUGUUACCACCCACCUCCGCCACACACCACCACCAUCCCCGUCAUACCACUGCCAUCAUCUCACCUCCGCCUCCCCUCCCUCAUCAACGAUCUGCUUCUCUCUCAUCUCGUAAAACCCCCAAAUUCCCUGAAACACCAUCACACCUCCAGCCACCCACCGUGAACCGCCACCAAACCAUCGCUGCAACGACCAUCACUCAAACCACCACGCCCAACACCACAACACCAUAGUCCCACGACCACCCACUCGUCACCGGGCCGACCACCACGGCGCUCGUUUUUCCAACAAGAUUUCGACUGUCAUUAAGCUAACCUUAAUGGAUCUUUGUUUCGUCUUUAACUCUCGUAUUUCCAGCGGCCGACAGGAUGGUUUAGAUUUGGGUUUUAAGUUUUAACUAUCGCCAACUUCGAUCCCUGGGUUUCAACUUUCGUCUUCAGGUCUGGCUUUUAACUAUUGGCGUUGUGGAAGAAAUGCAUCACUGUAGAGAAUCCGCCCCUUGGUUGCAGCUGUUUGUUUUUAGAGUAUGGUUGUUGGUGACAAAGAUGAUGGGUCAUGGUUAGGUUUAUUGGUAAUCAGAGAUGAGGAUUGGGGAUGACAAAGAUGAAUCAUAGGUUGGAUUUAAUGGUAAUAAUGGGUCUCAAUUUGUAAUAUAAUAUGUUUUAAUAAUAGAAUUUACAUAAGAAGUCCCUAAGUAUAGU
rnacentral:lncRNA from 1 species